UACGUAGGUGGCGAGCGUUGUCCGGAUUUACUGGGCGUAAAGGGAGCGUAGGCGGACUUUUAAGUGAGAUGUGAAAUACUCGGGCUCAACUUGAGUGCUGCAUUUCAAACUGGAAGUCUAGAGUGCAGGAGAGGAGAAUGGAAUUCCUAGUGUAGCGGUGAAAUGCGUAGAGAUUAGGAAGAACACCAGUGGCGAAGGCGAUUCUCUGGACUAUAGCUGACGCUGAGGCUCGAAAGCGUGGGGAGCAAACAGG
rnacentral:rRNA from 1 species